rnacentral:lncRNA from 1 species
GGAGAAAGACUUGUUGCAAUUGGGUCCCAAAUGGGCUAAGAACUCGGAAACAUUGCGUUGAACCACGAAAUGACUUAUCUAGUGUUGUUUCUGGUGAUAAUAUGUUAGGAUACAAUAAAUUUGAUUGAUUACAAGUGCUAGAGAUGCAUGAAGAGUGUUUAGAAGUGUGGAGAAAGACUUGUUGAAAUUGGGUCCUAAAUGGGCUAAGAACUCGGAAACAUUGCGUUAAACCACUAAAUAACUUAUCUAAUAUUGUUUGGGGAUAUAAUAUGUUAUAAUACAAUAAAUUUAAUUGAUUACCAGUUCUAGAGAUGCAUGAAGAGUGUUUAGAAGUGUGGAGAAAGACUUGUUGAAAUUGGGUCCCAAAUAGGCUAAGAACUCGGAAACAUUGCGUUAAACUACUAAAUGACUUAUGUAGUGUUGUUUGACGAUAUAAUAUGUUAGAAUACAAUAAAUUUAAUUAAUUACAAUUUCUUGAGAUGCAUGAAUAGUGUUUAGAAGUGUGGAGAAAGACUUGUUGAAAUUAUGUCCCAAAUAGGCUAAGAACUCGGAAACAUUGCGGUUAACCACUAAAUGACUUAUCUAGUGUUGUUUGGGGUUAGAAUAUGAUAGAAUAAAAUAAAUUUGAUUGGUUACAAGUGCUAGAGAUGCAUGAAGAGUGUUUAAAAGUAUGGAGAAAGACUUGUUUAAAUUGGGACCCAAAUGGGCUAAGAACUCGGAAACAUUGAGUUGAACCACUAAAUGACUUAUCUAGUGUUGUUUGGGGUUAGAAUAUGUUAGAAUACAAUAAAUUUGAUUUAUUAAAAGUACUAGAGAUGCUUGAAAAGUGUUUAGAAGUGUGGAGAAAGACUUGUUGAAAU